rnacentral:rRNA from 1 species
UUAACCAGCGGUCUACCAUGCAGUCGACGGAAGGCCCCUUCGGGGGUGCUCGAGUGGCGAACGGGUGAGUAACACGUGGGUGAUCUGCCCUGCACUUUGGGAUAAGCCUGGGAAACUGGGUCUAAUACCGAAUACACCCUGCUGGUCGCAUGGCCUGGUGGGGGAAAGCUUUUGCGGUGUGGGAUGGGCCCGCGGCCUAUCAGCUUGUUGGUGGGGUGAUGGCCUACCAAGGCGACGACGGGUAGCCGGCCUGAGAGGGUGUCCGGCCACACUGGGACUGAGAUACGGCCCAGACUCCUACGGGAGGCAGCAGUGGGGAAUAUUGCACAAUGGGCGCAAGCCUGAUGCAGCGACGCCGCGUGGGGGAUGACGGCCUUCGGGUUGUAAACCCCUUUCAGUAUCGACGAAGCCGUGAGGUGACGGUAGGUACAGAAGAAGCACCGGCCAACUACGUGCCAGCAGCCGCGGUAAUACGUAGGGUGCGAGCGUUGUCCGGAAUUACUGGGCGUAAAGAGCUCGUAGGUGGUUUGUCGCGUUGUCCGUGAAAACUCACAGCUUAACUGUGGGCGUGCGGGCGAUACGGGCAGACUGGAGUACUGCAGGGGAGACUGGAAUUCCUGGUGUAGCGGUGGAAUGCGCAGAUAUCAGGAGGAACACCGGUGGCGAAGGCGGGUCUCUGGGCAGUAACUGACGCUGAGGAGCGAAAGCGUGGGGAGCGAACAGGAUUAGAUACCCUGGUAGUCCACGCCGUAAACGGUGGGUACUAGGUGUGGGUUUCCUUCCUUGGGAUCCGUGCCGUAGCUAACGCAUUAAGUACCCCGCCUGGGGAGUACGGCCGCAAGGCUAAAACUCAAAGGAAUUGACGGGGGCCCGCACAAGCGGCGGAACAUGUGGAUUAAUUCGAUGCAACGCGAAGAACCUUACCUGGGUUUGACAUG